rnacentral:lncRNA from 1 species
GAGCAGUGUGAGCAGUGUGAGCAAUGCAGUGUGAGCAGUGUGAGCAGUGUGAGCAAUGCAGUGUGUGCAAUGCAGUGUGAGCAGCGUGAGCAGCGUGUGCAGUGCGUGCAGUGUGGGUGGUGCGUGCAGCCCAGCGCAGUGCACGCAGUGCAUGCAGCGUGCGAUGCAGCGCAGCGCGUGCAGCGUGAGCAGUGCAGCGUGCGCUGUGUGCGCUGCGACGCUGCGCCGCGCACUGCGGUGUGUGCAGUGUGUGAUGCGGUGCAGCGUGUGCGUGUGCAAUGCACGCUGCGCAGCACGUCGCGUGCAAUGUGCACCCACGCAGUGUGCAAUCUGCAGCGGGCAGGGUCUGCCUGCAGUGUCUGCAAAGCACAGCCGUGCAAUGCCCGGUGCCUGCAGUGUGCACUGUCUGCAGUGCGCACCCACGCCGUGCACAAUCUGCAAUGCGCAGCCGUGCAACGUGCAGCAGCGUGCAGCCGUGCAGCGUGCAGGGCAGGGCAGUGCCGUGCAGCGCAGCGCGUGACGUGUGCUCAAUGCGUGCAGCGCAGGGCGUGCAGCGUGCGAUGCCGCGUGCACUGCGUGCGGCGUGACGCCGGGCCGUGCAGCGCAGCGUGUGCAGCGCGUGGUGCAGUGCAGUGCGUGCGGUGUGCAACACGCACGGCACAGCACGUAGCACGCAGUGUGCACCCACCCAGCGUGCGCAGCAUGCAGUGCGCCGUGCUCAGCGUGCAACCCGCAGCACGCAGUGUCUGCAGUGCACAAUCUGCAGCACGCAGCUGUGCCGUGCACGGUGUGCAAGGUGCGGUGUGUGCAGCGUGUGCAGCGUGCAAGGCGCAGGGUGCGGCCGUGCAACCGGCAGCGUGCGCAGUGUGCACUGCUCAGCCCUGCAGUGUGUGCAGAGUGCAGUGUGUAUUGUGCAGCGUGCUGCUGUGCCGUGCGUGCAGGGUGCAACGUGCCGUGCUCAGCGUGCAACCUGCAGCGUGCAGCCAUGCAGUGCUCGGUGUGCGAGGUGCAGUGUGUGCAGCGUGCAAGGCGCAGGGUGCGGCCGUGCAACCGGCAGCGUGCGCAGUGUGCACCGCUCAGCCCUGCACUGUGUGCGGUGUGCAGUGCGCAGCCUUGCCGUGCAACAUGCAGCGUGCAACAAGCGGCGUGCAGUGCCUGCAGUGCGCAGCCAUGCAGCGUGCGAGGCGUCAGUGCUCAGCCGUGCAGCAUGCAACAUGCAGCGUGCAGUGCCUGCAGUGUCUGCAGUGCCUGCAGUGCGCGGCCAUGCAGCGUGCAACAUGCAGUGUGCAUGCAGCGUGCAGUGCCUGCAAUGCC